CCUACGGGAGGCAGCAGUGAGGAAUAUUGGUCAAUGGGCGAGAGCCUGAACCAGCCAAGUCGCGUGAGGGAGUACUGCCCUAUGGGUUGUAAACCUCUUUUGUCGGGGAGCAAAAGCCGGACGUGUCCGGCUGUGAGAGUACCCGAAGAAAAAGCAUCGGCUAACUCCGUGCCAGCAGCCGCGGUAAUACGGGUGAUGCGAGCGUUAUCCGGAUUUAUUGGGUUUAAAGGGUGCGCAGGCGGGUUUUUAAGUCAGCGGUAAAAUCGUGGGGCUCAACCCCAUCCAGCCGUUGAAACUGGGGAUCUAGAGUGUGCGAGAGGUAUGCGGAAUGCGUGGUGUAGCGGUGAAAUGCAUAGAUAUCACGCAGAACCCCGAUUGCGAAGGCAGCAUACCGGUGCACAACUGACGCUCAGGCACGAAAGCGUGGGUAUCGAACAGGAUUAGAUACCCCAGUAGUC
rnacentral:rRNA from 1 species